rnacentral:rRNA from 1 species
GAUGAACGCUGGCGGCGUGCCUAAUACAUGCAAGUCGAGCGAACAGACGAGGAGCUUGCUCCUCUGACGUUAGCGGCGGACGGGUGAGUAACACGUGGAUAACCUACCUAUAAGACUGGGAUAACUUCGGGAAACCGGAGCUAAUACCGGAUAAUAUAUUGAACCGCAUGGUUCAAUAGUGAAAGACGGUUUUGCUGUCACUUAUAGAUGGCUCCGCGCCGCAUUAGCUAGUUGGUAAGGUAACGGCUUACCAAGGCGACGAUGAGUAGCCGACCUGAGAGGGUGAUCGGCCACACUGGAACUGAGACACGGUCCAGACUCCUACGGGAGGCAGCAGUAGGGAAUCUUCCGCAAUGGACGAAAGCCUGACGGAGCAACGCCGCGUGAGUGAUGAAGGUCUUCGGAUCGUAAAACUCUGUUGUUAGGGAAGAACAAAUGUGUAAGUAACUAUGCACGUCUUGACGGUACCUAAUCAGAAAGCCACGGCUAACUACGUG